UGCCUACGGGGGGCAGCAGUAGGGAAUCUUCCACAAUGGACGAAAGUCUGAUGGAGCAACGCCGCGUGAGUGAAGAAGGGUUUCGGCUCGUAAAGCACUGUUUGUAGUGAAGAAAGAUAGAGGUAGUAACUUGCCCUUAUUUGACGGUAAUUACUUAGAAAGUCACGGCUAACUACGUGCCAGCAGCCCCGGUAAUACGUAGGUGGCAAGCGUUGUCCGGAUUUAUUGGGCGUAAAGCGAGUGCAGGGGGUU
rnacentral:rRNA from 1 species